UAGGGAAUCUUCGGCAAUGGGGGGAACCCUGACCGAGCAACGCCGCGUGAGUGAAGAAGGUUUUCGGAUCGUAAAGCUCUGUUGUUAAGGAAGAACGAGUGUGAGAAUGGAAAGUUCAUGCUGUGACGGUACUUAACCAGAAAGGGACGGCUAACUACGUGCCAGCAGCCGCGGUAAUAAGUAGGUCCCGAGCGUUGUCCGGAUUUAUUGGGCGUAAAGCGAGCGCAGGCGGUUAGAAAAAUCUGAAGUGAAAGGCAGUGGCUCAACCAUUGUAGGCUUUGGAAACUGUUUAACUUGAGUGCAGAAGGGGAGAGUGGAAUUCCAUGUGUAGCGGUGAAAUGCGUAGAUAUAUGGAGGAACACCGGUGGCGAAAGCGGCUCUCUGGUCUGUAACUGACGCUGAGGCUCGAAAGCGUGGGGAGCGAACAGG
rnacentral:rRNA from 1 species